UAUAUAUCCACAGAGAUAAUCGCCUUCGCCUCUUUUCGAAGGUUGUUUUUCGUUUAUCUUCUUAAAAUUUGACUUUUCCCCCUCCUUUUUGGGGACGAAGGGGGGGAAAGUCCCGUGUACAAAAUACUCCUCUUUCCUGGGUUCGCCUCUCGAUUUCAGCUUCGGCGUAUCAACCCCCCUCCCCAGUCGGAUUUUUUGUUCUUUAUAAAUUUCUGCAAGCGGCGGAGGAGGGAGGGGGAGUCGGCGAGAGAGAGCCACACGUAGCGGCUUUCGACCAACUCGUAAACAGUUUUCAUGCUUAUCCCAAAGAGGACUGCAGUAUUGGCUACAAAGGGCCUAUUCUUUUGAUUGAAUGUCAUAUUCUCAAACAUUUUUUGCCUCCCAGAUUCAGAAAACAUCUUGAUCUUGCAGUAGUACCAUAGUGAUUUAUACUGCUCAGUUUAGUUGACUUGUACAAAGCUGUUCUGAACAAUUCUGAAGAUAUGCUGAUACGACGCUAAAAUGCUGUACACCAAACGUGCAUUAAGUAAUUAUGUGAGUGUUGUUCCCAGUCGAUAUAAUCCCACAGUAACCACAGUAAGACCCAAUAAGACAAAAUUAAAGACCGGCAAAAGCACCUCUGGAAGAUGAGUGAAGUGUUCCUGAAAUCUGGGCAACAUGGGUAUAAGUAAAUGGUACCUUGCUUUUCCUUCAUACUCACAAUCUAUACAAAUACUAUCAGAAUCUUAGGCAAAAAACUGAGCUAUACACUGCUUUGUGUCUCAACUUUUGUCACAACGUUUUGCAUUUAUUUAUUUCUUGGAUGCUUUUAUCCAAAGCUAAAUACAGUAAGGUAGCGUAUAGCCCAAGCAGUAGCAAAUUAAGUAGAUUGCAUGUAAGAUGAUUGUCAUAAUGCUGGGUUUCAUUUCCACAAGUGGCAUAAAGUUGCGGGUGUAUAACAUAAGGCCAUAGGUGUGCAGGAGGGACUACAGGAAUGCAGUUAGGCCUACAUAGACUGGUGGCUGAGAAUUAGAAUGUACAUAGACUGGGGCUGACCUAAUUUAAAUUAUAUAACAUUGGAAAUGGGAGUUUCAAAAUAAAUAUUUCAAAAGUUGGUGACUAUUUUGGUUU
rnacentral:lncRNA from 1 species